AGAGUUUGAUCAUGGCUCAGAACGAACGCUGGCGGCAGGCUUAACACAUGCAAGUCGAACGCCCUCUUCGGAGGGAGUGGCAGACGGGUGAGUAACGCGUGGGAACGUACCUUUCGGUUCGGAAUAACUCGGGGAAACUCGUGCUAAUACCGGAUACGUCCGCAAGGAGAAAGAUUUAUCGCCGAAAGAUCGGCCCGCGUCCGAUUAGCUAGUUGGUGGGGUAAUGGCCUACCAAGGCGACGAUCGGUAGCUGGUCUGAGAGGAUGAUCAGCCACACUGGGACUGAGACACGGCCCAGACUCCUACGGGAGGCAGCAGUGGGGAAUAUUGGACAAUGGGCGAAAGCCUGAUCCAGCCAUGCCGCGUGAGUGAAGAAGGCCUUAGGGUUGUAAAGCUCUUUCGCCGAUGAAGAUAAUGACGGUAGUCGGAGAAGAAGCCCCGGCUAACUUCGUGCCAGCAGCCGCGGUAAUACGAAGGGGGCUAGCGUUGUUCGGAUUUACUGGGCGUAAAGCGCGCGUAGGCGGGUUGUUAAGUCAGGGGUGAAAUGCCGAGGCUCAACCUCGGAACUGCCUCUGAUACUGGCAACCUGGAGUUCGGGAGAGGUGAGUGGAAUUCCGAGUGUAGAGGUGAAAUUCGUAGAUAUUCGGAGGAACACCAGAAGCGAAGGCGGCUCACUGGCCCGAUACUGACGCUGAGGCGCGAAAGCGUGGGGAGCAAACAGGAUUAGAUACCCUAGUAGUCC
rnacentral:rRNA from 1 species